rnacentral:lncRNA from 1 species
CAGAAUUCCAAACAUCACACAAUCCCAGAAACUGUCUGCUGCUGGCACAAUCACACCCCUGCUAAAGCACGAGGUAAAUCAGUCAGCUGCUGUGGACAUCUGAAGUAACCCUACAUCCCACACUUGGGGUUAAAACAAGAACAUAUUCCCAUAACCUCUCUCUCUCUCUCUCCCUCCCUCUCUCUCUCUCUCUCUCUCUCUCUCUCUCUCUCUCUCUCUCUCUCUCUGUGUGUGUAUGUGUGCGUGUGUGUGUUUUUAAAAGAAACUGACAUACUUACUACAGUCCCUGGAAUCCGCUGAGGAAGAGGAGAGUGGACUCUGGAAAGCUAUCCUCUAACUGCCACAAGUGCACAUGGCACGUGCACUCACCUCAUUCUCCUCACCCCGAGCCAGCUACUGAGGCAAGGUCAAGACUACAGGGGAGGAACAGUAUCUGAACACCA